rfam:Anaerolineae bacterium SM23_ 63 WORSMTZ_8702, whole genome shotgun sequence.
CUUGGUGAUUUGAGCGGCGGGGGUACACCUGGUCCCAUACCGAACCCAGAAGUUAAGCCCGCCAGCGCCGAUGGUACUCGGCUGGAGACGGCCCGGGAGAGUAGGCCAUUGCCAAGG